UUGCGGCGUUUAUGUCUCGCGAAUUGUUUCGGAUUUGACUCGUUUUUCGCGGUUUGCAGACGAUCGGCGGCGAUGCGGCGCUUGCACUUUUCGGCGCCGCUGUUGGCGCCGCCAGACAAGGCCGUGCUCGGCAAGUUACGGAAAAAGAGCGGCGACACGUUCAACAAGUGCAUGGAGCCGCUCGAGAAGUGCGGAAACCAGGUCGCCAAGUUGGUACCUUGAGGACCUGUGGGUGGCCGCGGGUCAGCGGCUCUUCCUGGUGGCGUCAGGUCUCUUUAAGAAACUCAUAGGUUCGCCUGGAGGACCAUGGAAAUGUGCUGGGCGAAUAAAUUGGCUGGCGAGGAGACGGUCCAAGUGGCGGCCCACGUCCAGCACCAGGUUGGCGACACACGUGAGAGCAGCUGUUGCGUGAGGAGCUGCUUACCUGACGAGGGUUGACCCUGAUUGGCAGAAGCAGGAGGACACCCAGGGCAGCGACUCGGAGGUGGAGCGACUCCGACUUGCCGUUCGAGACGUCGGUGUUGAGCGGCCGCAAUUUGAACCCUUCGUCGAAGGGCCAGGUGCGCACCAGCAGCACUGACGAGAUCACCUUCAGCGGUCUGGCGACGAAGUGAGCGUCGGCGCGCGAGCGGGUGCAGCACUCGGGCCCGGGCCGCUUCUCUGAUUCGCGCCACCAGCUGAGAGCUGAGCGAGGCCGAGUGCCACCUUCAGGGACACCACCUUCCAAACCAACGUCUAUAGCCAUUGCCUGUGAUUCGCCCCCUCCCCUCUCUCACCCCUAAACCACCUUUCAAAUAAAU